rnacentral:rRNA from 1 species
AUUGAACGCUGGCGGCAGGCCUAACACAUGCAAGUCGAGCGAGCGGCGGACGGGUGAGUAAUGUCUGGGAAACUGCCUGAUGGAGGGGGAUAACUACUGGAAACGGUAGCUAAUACCGCAUACCAUCAGAUGUGCCCAGGUGGGAGUAGCUAGUAGGUUGGGUAACGGCACACCUAGGCGAAGAUCCCUAGCUGGUCUGAGAGGAUGACCAGCAAACCUGGAACUGGGACACGGUCCAGACUCCUACGGUAGGCAGCAGUGGUGAAUAUUGCACAAUUGGCGCAAGCCUUAUGCAGCCAUGCCGCGUGUGUGAAGAAGGCCUUCGGGUUGUAAAGCACUUUCAGCGGGGAGGCGUUACCCGCAGAAGAAGCACCGGCUAACUCCGUGCCAGCAGCCGCGGUAAUAC